GCGACGACACAGUGCUCUGUUCGCGACAUCUCCUCUCGUGCGGCGCAGCUAGGGCACGCGACCUCCCACCGCUGGCCGUCUCUUCUUCCUCACCACCGGCCGACAGCUCUUUCUUCUCUUCACUGCCGCACAGACCCCUCUCAGGAAUCGGGAAGUGCGGUGGUGGAUUUCGCCGACAAUGACGACGCCCAACAACCUUCCCAACGGCGGCCACCACCAGCGCCCACACCCUUCGCCCGACCCUCGGAGACAGCGCCACUACCUUGGCACGCCCAUCGCCACCCCUUCCUCCUCCUCUUCCUCCGCCGCCUCCUUCAAGGGUUGCUGUUGCUACCUCGGCGGUGCUCGAUGUGAUGUACUGCGGCGUGCCACUCGGCGUGGCGACGGUGCCGGGCUUCGAGCAGCCCGCGCACAGCAGCCGCCUCGUCCAGACCCACGAAAGAUUGAAUACUCACUUUGCAUUAUCUAGCUUCAAGAGAACAAGAGAGCUGUGCGUGGUGAUAAGUGUCUAAAAGUUUAAUUGUUUCAUUUAUUUAUGUUGAAUCAAGUGAUCGCUAGAGAUGGGCAAGACAUCGGGUUGGUUUACGCUCAUCAAAAGAGCCUUCACUUCGAGCUCUAAGGAUAAAUUGGUCCAGACAAGUACCCCAAUCCAAUACUCACAGGACAAGCAAAAAAGAGAGAAGAAAAAGUGGGGAUUUAGCAAAUCCAACCAUGAUGACAAUGGUUCCUUUAUUCAAAUGCAUAGACAACAAAACAUAAUUGAGCGAAUACUGGAGGAUGUUCAAAAUGAGCAACACCAACGACAUAGAGUGCAGCAAGUGCUCCCCAAGAAGGCUCAACAAUCGAAAUCGCCUACAAGAAAACCAAGGAUUGUUCCCAACUAUGCCCACAUUUCAGCAAUCAAAAUCCAAGCAGCAUAAAGAGGUUACAGGUAAGCGAUUGGUGGUUUGGAUGUCAAUGAGUGGAACGGUAGAAGGGUCGUCUCUGAACCCAAAUGCCCUACACUCUGUUCUGCAGCAGUUGCGGGAGUCAGUGCAGGCAUUGUUGGAACACUUCCAUCAGUGGAGGCAACAAGAGAUGGCUGGCAAAGACUUGUUUGAGACUGCCUCUGUGGAGGCUUUAGUCAUGAACCUGAGCACCAAAUCUCCGAAAAAAGGCGUGAGGUCGGGUAAAUAUCGUGAAAAACCUGUCCAAUGCAUAAGGCCAAAGUGUACUCCUCGCCGCAUCAUUCUUCGAGGCCGACUAAUUAUUUUGUGCUUUUUUUGUUUUAAAUUCGAAUGUCACUAUCUACUUUGAAACAGAACUAUUUAGUCUUUGUGUAUAGUUGAAUUCUCCUGUAAAUACUAAUACUUUGUAAUUGAAUUCUAUUGUUUUGG